rnacentral:rRNA from 1 species
AAGAGACAGCAGUCGCCGCGGGAAUACAGAGGGUGCGAGCGUUAAUCGGAUUUACUGGGCGUAAAGCGUGCGUAGGCGGCUUCUUAAGUCGGAUGUGAAAUCCCUGAGCUUAACUUAGGAAUUGCAUUCGAUACUGGGAAGCUAGAGUAUGGGAGAGGAUGGUAGAAUUCCAGGUGUAGCGGUGAAAUGCGUAGAGAUCUGGAGGAAUACCGAUGGCGAAGGCAGCCAUCUGGCCUAAUACUGACGCUGAGGUACGAAAGCAUGGGGAGCAAACAGGAUUAGAUACCCCCGUAGUCCCUGUCUCUUAUAC